rnacentral:rRNA from 1 species
GAUGAACGCUGGCGGCGUGCCUAAUACAUGCAAGUCGAGCGAACGGACGGGAAGCUUGCUUCUCUGAUGUUAGCGGCGGACGGUUGAGUAACACGUGGAUAACCUACCUAUAAGACUGGGAUAACUUCGGGAAACCGGAGCUAAUACCGGAUAAUAUUUUGAACCGCAUGGUUCAAAAGUGAAAGACGGUCUUGCUGUCACUUAUAGAUGGAUCCGCGCUGCAUUAGCUAGUUGGUAAGGUAACGGCUUACCAAGGCAACGAUGCAUAGCCGACCUGAGAGGGUGAUCGGCCACACUGGAACUGAGACACGGUCCAGACUCCUACGGGAGGCAGCAGUAGGGAAUCUUCCGCAAUGGGCGAAAGCCUGACGGAGCAACGCCGCGUGAGUGAUGAAGGUCUUCGGAUCGUAAAACUCUGUUAUUAGGGAAGAACAUAUGUGUAAGUAACUGUGCACAUCUUGACGGUACCUAAUCAGAAAGCCACGGCUAACUACGUG